AUACGGAGGAUCCGAGCGUUAUCCGGAUUUAUUGGGUUUAAAGGGUGCGCAGGCGGCCAUUUAAGUCAGCGGUUAAAUCGUGGGGCUCAACCCCAUUCUGCCGUUGAUACUGGGUGGCUUGAUUGCGGUCGAGGUUGGCGGAAUUCGUUGUGUAGCGGUGAAAUGCAUAGAUAUGACGAAGAACACCGAUUACGUAGGCAGCUGACCAGACCGCAAAUGACGCUCAUGCACGAAAGUGCGGGGAUCGAACAGGAUUAGAUACCCUGGUAGUCCGCACAGUAAACGAUGAAUACUUGUUUUCGGCGAUAUAAUGUCGGAGGCAAAGCGAAAGCGAUAAGUAUUCCACCUGGGGAGUACGCCGGCAACGGUGAAACUUAAAGGAAUUGGCGGGG
rnacentral:rRNA from 1 species